rnacentral:rRNA from 1 species
CCUACGGGAGGCAGCAGUAGGGAAUCUUACACAAUGGGCGAAAGCCUGAUGGAGCAACGCCGCGUGGGUGAAGAAGGUCUUCGGAUCGUAAAACCCUGUUGUUAGAGAAGAAAGUGCGUGAGAGUAACUGUUCACGUUUCGACGGUAUCUAACCAGAAAGCCACGGCUAACUACGUGCCAGCAGCCGCGGUAAUAAGUAGGUGGCAAGCGUUAUCCGGAUUUAUUGGGCGUAAAGGGAACGCAGGCGGUCUUUUAAGGCUGAUGUGAAAGCUUUCGGCUUAACCGGAGUAGUGCAUUGGAAACUGGGAGACUUGAGUGCAGAAGAGGUGAGUGGAACUCCAUGUGUAGCGGUGAAAUGCGUAGAUAUAUGGAAGAACACCAGUGGCGAAGGCAGCUCUCUGGUCUGUAACUGACGCUGAGGUUCGAAAGCGUGGGUAGCAAACAGGAUUAGAUACCCUUGUAGUC